rnacentral:tRNA from 1 species
CAGAACGUAGCCAAGCUAGCAAAGCGUCUCCCUUACACUGAGAAAACACCCGUGCAAAUCGGGUCGUCCUGA